UGCAGAGGGUGCGAGCGUUAAUCGGAAUUACUGGGCGUAAAGCGUGCGUAGACGGCUAUCUAAGUCGGGUGUGAAAGCCCCGGGCUCAACCUGGGAAUUGCAUUCGAGACUGAAUAGCUAGGGUACGGUAGAGGGAAGCGGAAUUUCCGGUGUAGCGGUGAAAUGCGUAGAUAUCGGGAGGAACACCCGUGGCGAAGGCGGCCACCUGGGCCGACCCUGACGCUGAGGCGCGAAGGCGUGGGGAGCGAACGGG
rnacentral:rRNA from 1 species